UGGCGGCAGGCCUAACACAUGCAAGUCGAGCGGUAACAUUUCUAGCUUGCUAGAAGAUGACGAGCGGCGGACGGGUGAGUAACGCGUAGAAAUCUACCUAGUAGUGGGGGAUAGCCCAGAGAAAUUUGGAUUAAUACCGCAUACGCCCUACCGGGGGAAAGCGGGGGAUCUUCGGACCUCGUGCUAUUAGAUGAGUCUGCGUCGGAUUAGCUUGUUGGUGAGGUAAUGGCUCACCAAGGCGACGAUCCGUAGCUGGUCUGAGAGGAUGACCAGCCACACUGGAACUGAGACACGGUCCAGACUCCUACGGGAGGCAGCAGUGGGGAAUAUUGCACAAUGGGCGCAAGCCUGAUGCAGCCAUGCCGCGUGUGUGAAGAAGGCCUUAGGGUUGUAAAGCACUUUCAGCAGUGAGGAAAGGGGUGUCGUUAAUAGCGCCAUCCUGUGACGUUAACUGCAGAAGAAGGACCGGCUAACUCCGUG
rnacentral:rRNA from 1 species